rnacentral:rRNA from 1 species
UACGUAGGGUGCAAGCGUUAAUCGGAAUUACUGGGCGUAAAGCGUGCGCAGGCGGUGAUGUAAGACAGUUGUGAAAUCCCCGGGCUCAACCUGGGAACUGCAUCUGUGACUGCAUCGCUGGAGUGCGGCAGAGGGGGAUGGAAUUCCAGGUGUAGCGGUGAAAUGCGUAGAUAUCUGGAGGAACACCGGUGGCGAAGGCGACGUCCUGGACCGGUAUUGACGCUGAGGCGCGAAAGCCAGGGGAGCAAACGGG